rfam:Mesitornis unicolor contig56198, whole genome shotgun sequence.
ACAGUCUGAAAAUCACUUGAGGUCUCCUGUGGCCUCUGGUGAGAUAACCGUGCCUACAGCAUAGGGAACAUUAAGCUUAUUGCCCACGAUGGUGUGUGGGGAGUGAAACCCAUGUUCCCAUAACU